GUUUCAUAAAGCUCGCCGAAAAGAGUGAAUCGUAUGGUUAUCGAAUGUAUGAAGCUCUGAACGAAAACAAUGAUAAAUGUAUUCUAUCAAUUGGAUAUAAAGGAAUUUACAUUUAUCGAAGAAGUCGACAUCAGAAUUUGAUCACACCGUACCUCGCGUAUCCGUGGAGAGUUAUCGACAAUUUGUAUUAUCGGGAUAAGAAAUUUUCCAUCGAAAUUCGGGAACCGAAAAA
rnacentral:sRNA from 1 species